AAUCAUGUUGCCGCAGGACAUCAUCAGCGAGCUCAGAAAGCAAGCGAAGGGAUUGAGGUAGCAGACCCUGAAGAGUCCACAGCAGCUGAAAACUCCAUUUCUCCAUAUGCAAGCCCUAAAGUGCAGGAGUUUAUCAGAGGACAGCAGUUCCAAUCUUCACCUUUGGCUAAGGCAAACUUCCAUCCAAGCAGGCUGGAGCAAACAAACUCACAGUCCUGAGGAAGAGCAGACACCACGUCGAAGGGAGAGACUCUGUGGCAUGCAUUUGAUGCAGUGACCGUCAGAGAAUCUCUCCAUUUUGACCCGGCCUCCGAUUCCAUCAUUGGUACGAAGGAUUUUGGAGACCGUGGCAAGAGUAUGAAGCAGGCAAACCAUGCACUUGUGUUCAUGGCUAAAGGGUUGGCCAGGAAGUGGAAAGUGGUUAGGUUAGGUUAGAUCAGGUUAUGUUAGGAUAGGUCAGGUCAGGUCAGAUAAGGUCAGGUUAGGAUUGCCUUAUUUUAAGCUCUCGUCUCCAUUCAAGUACAAAGAACGAGCACUUCCGCGUUCCCCGCCCACAAACCCCUCUUCCCAACGAGUCCCCAAGGUCGCCGGGGGACGAGAGAAGAAGAGGCUGCAGAGUGAAGUGAUUCCACUGUGUUUUGUGCUCAAAAUCGUCCAUAACAUAAACAAUCAAUAACGGACAUCACAGUUUUGUAGUUUGCGGUUUGGUCGUACUGUAGCAAUUCAUCCUCCUCAGGCACGGGUUGGUUAGGUUAGGUUAUGCCUGCUUAGGAUAGGUGGCUUAGGGUAGGCUAGGUUAGCUUAGGUUAAAACCCUUCAGAGAGUCUCUUGGGGCCUUUAGCAGAGCUCGGCUCGGGGAACACGUCGCGUUCACCUCCCAGCCCCUCCACGCUGCGUGACAGUCAGCACGUGGCUCAAGACUCGUCGUCAGGAGCAGGACUAAACAGCCGAUCGUUUAAAGAAUCACAUCGUGCUCAUUUUUUCAAGUGUUGGGAUGAUGUGAGUUGUGCACUUUUGUUUGCUGGUCUCCCUGUGAAUUGCAUGUUUACAUUUUUGAUGAGUGCUUGCCUUCAAGUAGGAUCUGAUGCACUCAGUGUAAAUACAAGACUGAUUUUGUGACACCUGUGAGUGCUUUCAAGAACACUUAUCAGUCUACCACCAGACUGCAACACUGCCCGUGCUGGCGAGGUGCUGCUUAAACUGAGCGGCUGGGCAGUCAGGCGUGCAUUUUGCACUGGCCACACCGACGCAAAGCAUUACCGGUGUUCACCUGACAGCCGCAGGGUGUCCACGGACGUGACCAUGAGGACUGUCCACAGUAGGCCCAAUGACAAGCUGAGGAGUGAAUUUGCUUGCUCUGUGGAGAUUCAGGGGAACCACAAUCGUCCCCUUGGCCCUGCUGAUGCCCUCGGUGAACCAAGGGUGCCCUCAGCUACACCAGAGCUAUUUGAGAGCCAUUUGAACCAAAACCCUUAAGUUAUCAUUAUUAUUAUUAUUAUUAUUAUUAUUAUUAUUAUUAUUAUUAUUAUUAUUAUCAUUAUUAUUAUUAUUAAUUCUUUUUAUU